ensembl:snRNA
AGGGUGUAUGAAAGGAGAGAAGGUUAGCAAUCCCCUUGAUAAGGAUGGAAGAGGUCUUAGUGACCUUUACAACACGCAUAUGGUUAAGGCAUUGCCACUUAUUUCGUGACAUCUAACCAAGU